CUGAUCUUCAAGUGUCGUUUCUCUGUUCGGAUUUGGAAUGUGGUCUUCUCAUGGCUCGGGCUUGCUAUCCCCACGGCUCCGUGGCUCCUGUUCGAUUCAGUGAAAUCUUGGUGGGAUGCGGUUCUCUCUGAUAAUACACUCCCGAUGAAGGCCCUAUCUUCCCUGUUACUUCUCGUGGGAUGGGAGAUAUGGAAUGAAAGGAAUGCUCGUGUCUUCAGGAGCAAAGCGGCGCCGGUGGCGAUUGUCAUGCGACGCAUCAAAGAUGAAGUUUCGAUUUGGGCCACUGCAGGCGCUAAGCAUUUGCGUAAUGUAAUACCGUGA
rnacentral:rRNA from 1 species